ensembl:misc_RNA Metazoa_SRP Metazoan signal recognition particle RNA
GCUUGUACAUAAAAUCUGAUUUAUUUUUAUAAUAAAAGAUAAAAAAAAAAAAAUCCAAGUCACUGGGAGGCUGAGGUUGGCGGUUCGAUUCAGCUGAGGAGCUCUGCACUGUACCGGACUAUGUUGAACGGGUGUCCAUGCUAAGUUCGGCAUCGAUAUGGUGGUUCUGGGGGAGCCUUGGACCACCAGGUCGUCUAAGGAGGGGUGUACGGGCCCAGGUCGGAAACGGAGCAGGUCAAAGCCCCCGUGCAACUCAGUAGUGGGUUUGCAUCCGUGAAUAGAUGUUACAGUGCAGCCUUGGCAAAACAGCGGUAGCUAAUCUUUU